rnacentral:rRNA from 1 species
UACAGGGGGGGCAAGCGUUGUUCGGAAUUACUGGGCGUAAAGGGCUCGUAGGUGGCCAACUAAGUCAGACGUGAAAUCCCUCAGCUUAACUGGGGAACUGCGUCUGAUACUGGAUGGCUUGAGUUUGGGAGAGGGAUGCGGAAUUCCAGGUGUAGCGGUGAAAUGCGUUGAUAUCAUCAGGAACACCGGUGGCGAAGGCGGCUUUCUGGGUCUUACCUGACGCUGAGGAACGAAAGCGUGGGGAGCGAACAGG